rnacentral:lncRNA from 1 species
AGCAGUUAGUGAGUUUUGAGUUUGGUGGUUGAAUAAACGACUGUUAGGCAGUCAAAGAGAGAAGUUGUUCGCUUCCUAUUUUCUACAACUUCUUCACUGGUGACCCCGACGUUUGUCUGCUGGACGCCUCCACAGACAUCUCUACGAACAUGUCGACUAACGCCGUCUCCCUUAAGCUGCCCGACUUCUGGGAAUCGUCUGCCUCAGCCUGGUUUGCCCAAACAGAAGCGCAGUUUGCACUCCGGGAGAUUACCGCGGAUGCCACGAAAUAUUAUUAUGUGGUGUCGGCACUGGGAAAUUCAACGGCCACGAGAGUGGCGAGUUUUCUCACAAACCCACCUGAGGAGGAGAAAUAUAAAACAUUCAAAACUCACCUGUUGAAAGCUUUUGAGCUUUCCGACGCAGAACGAGCCGGCCGGCUUUUCUCCAUCCAAGGCCUCGGCGACAACAAGCCGUCUGAACUCAUGGACAGGAUGCUGGAUCUCAUGGGAGCACACAAGCCGGAUUUCCUCUUUAACCAACUCUUUCUGCGGCAGCUACCUUCUCGGGUACGAGCAGCGCUGGCCAACGCUGCCAUUACGGAGUGCCGAGCUCUAGCCGAGGAGGCUGAUAAAUUCUUCAUCGCGGGACAGCAACACGGCGCGGCCGCACCGUUUCCCGUUCAGUCUUUCACGCCAGCGACAGGACACGUUACGGCUGCCACGCAACCCGCUGGCCUGUGUUUUUACCAUGCAAAGUUCGGUCCCAAAGCCGGCCGGCGGUCAGUAGUGGCCAUGAGCGCUGGCCAUACAGGUAGGCUGCUAUUCAUCAAAGACAGCAUCUCCGGUCGGGGGCUCCUGUGUGACACUGGCGCUCAGCGGAGCAUCCUCCCUGCAUCUACAGUGGACAUCCUGGGUGACGGACACGGCCCCCCCAUGGCAGCUGCAAAUGGCAGCCCCAUCCGCACUUAUGGCACGAGAUAUGUGAGGUUGUGUUUUGAUGGACAGACGUUUGGCUGGGAUUUCGUCACAGCCAAGGUAACUUUCCCCAUCCUGGGCGCGGAUUUCCUUUGCGCCUAUGGCCUGCUGGUGGAUGUCAAAAACCGCCGGCUGAUCAAUGCUGCCACCUUCUGUUCAUAUCCAUGUACCCUUGGUGGAACAAGUUCCAUCAGAUUAUCUAGCAUGCUUUCAGCCACGGACGAUUUCCUCCGUCUCCUUGCUGAGUUUCCGGA